UGAGCAAUCUGCCCUUGACUCUGGGAUAAGCGUUGGAAACGACGUCUAAUACCGGAUACGAGCUGUGAAGGCAUCUUCAACAGCUGGAAAGAACUUCGGUCAAGGAUGAGCUCGCGGCCUAUCAGCUAGUUGGUGAGGUAAUGGCUCACCAAGGCGUCGACGGGUAGCCGGCCUGAGAGGGUGUCCGGCCACACGUGGGACUGAGACACGGCCCAGACCUCUACGGGGA
rnacentral:rRNA from 1 species